AGAAAAGCUCCUACUAACCAUGGAUCCACUAUGGACUUGAGUCUUACAUAUGGAGUCCAGAACUUUGGGGAUGCUAGACAAGAACUCUACUACUGAAGUGAAUAUCCAGAGAACAGACUGCAAACACCCCCAAAUUAUCCACCAGAGCUACUUAGAGAGAGG